ensembl:misc_RNA
AAAGGACCUAUAUGAAACACAAAAUGGCAAAGAAGUGGAAGGAAAAUGAAAUGAAUGCCAGCAGCUCAGCUUGCUUAA